GGUCAGUUGACAGGAGCAGCCAUGGAGGAGGAUGUCCUGCAGUUUCUAGAGUCACGACAGAUCCCUAAAGAGGAUAUCAUCCGUAUGCAAAGGGACAAGAUUGAUAAGGCAGUGCUGACCAUCAUGACGGAUGAGCAAAUGGCUAAAUAUCUCCCCUCAUAUGGUGAUAGAGUUGCCACCCUUUCCUUUUGCCGCCAAAGAAAUAGCAGCACCAACACUGACAAAGACAUUCUACUUCAGAGACUGAAAGAAAAAACUGGAACACGGAAAAUGAAAUCAAAAACAAAAAGAGCACUCACUGACACACUAAAUGCACCACAAACUAAAAAGGACAUGACACGAUCCGGGAAUACCUCAGCUGAGAAGACUACCAGGAAGAUUGAAGUUGGGUGGCUUCAUUUUAGCAGUAACCAAUAUCAUCAAGUGAGGACCAGAAAUGGUGGUGGUACGAGACAUACAACAGUGGAAAAAACAACUGUUGCCCAGAUUUUGGAAAUGGCAAAAGGACUAUUUUUUCCAAACGGGAAUUCAACGAAAGGACCUGUUGAGGACUUUACUUUCACUAUCUGUGAUUUUAAAAGAAACCAGAUACCUAUGGAGGACACUGUUGGCAAUCUAUGAACAAAUCAAACUGAGGCUGCUUAGAUUUUAUCUUUGCUCAAAAGAAGCAGAAGUGGAUGAAGAUGGAGGUUUUUCUUCUGAGGUUUUCAGUGAGGAAGAAGAUCUGCAGGCCGCUGUACAUGAUGUCAGUGAUCCCACUGGAGAUGUGCUGGAACUGAGAUCGUCAUCUGAUAGUGACAAUGAGGAACAGGCUGUGGAUUUUCCAGUACUACAUCCAAUUUCAAGAAAACAUAGAACAUCUGAGACUGUGGCUUCUCAAAGUCCAGAGAGAUUACAUAAUCUUUGUUCAACCCCAACACACACCAGUCACAGCAGGAAAAUUAAGUGCUUAUGAUGAACGUUCUGAAUACUUAGUUAUCUGUCAUUUUUUUCUAAAAUAGUGAUUUGACCAUCUAUCCCAAAGGUUCCAAACAAUUACAACCUAACGAAGGGUGUUCUGAAGGUUUUGAGGUUCUAGGAAUGGAUGAAACUGUGGAAUGGGACCCAGAAGAUCACACCAGCAGAGAAAGUGAUGACAACGUAGUUGUGAUCACACUGAAUUGUGACCAAGAGUAUGAACACAGAGUUCCCAGCACAGUGAAUUACUGCUGAAAGGCUUACAUUUCCAGCUGUCUGAUGACCUGUAUACUGUACAGAAGCAGUCCGCAGAGGAAUCAGUCCAAAAUGUACAGUGUGAGUCUGAGGGAAACAGAAGAAAGAGUGGACUUCUGCUGUUUGUCAAUGUAGCCGGGGACAGAGCUGUGACUCGCCCGGUCUGAGAGCCCCUCACACCGGGCAGAGAGCAGCCAGCCACCGUCCCUCCCCACGCAGAGCAGACCAUGUGUUUUUUUAAAACUACACAAACACACUGCUUCGCUUUAAAUGCACAGACAAUGGACAACUUCCCGGACCACCUGAUUUGCCUUUAGAUUCAAGCAGCCAGCUCUCCCCAUCAUCUACAGCUGACAAUUUGGAAAAUUCAGGGAACUCACAAUGUAUAUCAGUUCGCAGAAUCAAGGUUGUUGAUGAUCUUUUGUCUGUCUUUAUGGAUAGCAAGAUAAUGAAUAUCAAUCUUAAAAUGGUCAUUGUAAAUGAAAAAGCUGUUGAUGAUGAUGGAGUCUCUAGAGAAAUUUACACAGCUUUCUGGGAACAUUUUCUAGACUACUGUGAAGGGGAAGAUGAACGGGUCCCCAGAUUGAGGCCAGAUUUCUGGGAUAGUGAGUGGCAGGCUGUGAGUAGGAUCUGGGUGAAAGGACUACUUGACCAUGGUGUGCUACCUGUGAGGCUCUGCAAGGCUUUCAUUUUAGCCUGCAUUCAUGGCAUUGACUAUGUUGAUGAAGACAUUUUAAUAUCCUCAUUCCUUAACUAUCUCCCUUUAGUUGAAAGAUCAGCUGUGGAAAGUGCCCUUCAGGGUACAAUGGAUGACAGUAAUGAAGAUGAUCUGAUGGAUUUGUUCACUAGAAUGGGGUCUCAUUCCCUCCCUCCAAAGAACAACUUUAAGGCAGCUAUUGAAACAAUGGCACAUAAAGCAAUCUUACAGGAACCUAAAUACGUUAUUGACUGUUUUGCCAUACCCAUGGCACAGGUACAGCAAAAACUGUCAGACAAAACUAGUGUGCUCUGCCUGUAUGACUCUAAACAGCCAACAGGCAAACGAGUGGCACAACUGU